UCUAGUUUUGUGCUUGUUUUUUUCUAAUCAAAACAUACACAAUUUUAUUUUUUUGUUACUUCAGAUAUUGCGUUCCAUGAUUCGAUAGUGCUUAAAAUUUCGGGCAAUAAAGUGCAUAUCGCUCGGUGACGCACAAAUCAAACAAAGCAAUUUUUUGUUUGACUGAAAAAAAAAACACACACACAUACACGCAAAAAGCAAAGUCAACGCGACUUGGCCAAAAUCAAAGCAGAGCGAGCACACACACAUUAUGUUCAAUAGAUAUGGGCGGAUUCCUGGAUAAGCCGAAAACCGCAAAGCACAAUGAUAAGGGCGAGGGCAACAAGCUGCUCUUCGGCGUCAGCUCCAUGCAGGGAUGGCGUUGCGAAAUGGAGGAUGCCUACUAUGCUCGGGCCCGUCUAGGCAAUGCACUGGAGGAAUGGAGUUUCUUUGCUGUGUUCGAUGGACACGCGGGCUGCAAGGUGUCCGAGCAUUGUGCCAAUCAUUUGCUGGACAGCAUCAUCAGCACAGAGGAAUUCAAGAGCGGUGAUUAUGUGAAGGGCAUUCGCACUGGUUUCCUACGCAUCGAUGAAGUAAUGCGAGAGCUGCCCGAAUUUACGCAGGACGAGGAGAAAUGCGGUGGCACCACUGCCGUUAGCGCCUUCAUCAGCUCCACGCAAGUCUACAUUGCCAAUUGCGGCGAUUCGCGAGCUGUGCUCUGUCGCCAGGGGGUGCCGGUGUUUGCCACCCAGGAUCAUAAGCCCAUUUUGCCCGAGGAGAAGGAGCGUAUACAUAAUGCUGGCGGCAGUGUGAUGGUGCAGCGUGUUAAUGGAAUGCUCGCGGUGUCACGCGCUCUCGGCGACUAUGACUUUAAGAAUGUUAAGGAGAUGGGUCAGUGCGAGCAGUUGGUCUCACCGGAACCGGAAAUCUUUUGCCAAAGCCGUCAGGACACCGACGAGUUCCUAGUGCUCGCCUGUGACGGCAUCUGGGAUGUGAUGAGCAAUGAGGAUGUAUGCAGUUUCAUAUACUCGAGGCUGAAAGUGACCUCUGAUCUGGUGAAUAUUGCCAAUCAGGUCGUCGACACCUGUUUGCACAAGGGUAGCCGUGAUAAUAUGAGCAUCAUAAUAAUUGCUUUUCCCGGAGCACCGAAGCCAACUGAAGAGGCGAAAGAGGCUGAGCGACGUCUGGAGAAGCACAUCGAGAAGAUCACAAGAGAGGAGAUUGAGAGUAAUGAUGUCACGGACUACGUUGAACUGUUAAAGUGUCUGGAAAUCAGAGACGACAUUGAAGGUCUUCCACCCGGCGGCGGUUUGCACUCCAAAUAUCACAUUAUCAAGCGAAUAUUCACGGAGUUGUUUCCGGAUGAUCCAUGUGAACUAUAUGGAAAUAUUGAUCUAUGAAUUUUUUAAUCCAAACUAUUGUUCAUUUUAAAAUCAACCUAAACAUGCAAAACAACCAAACAAAACAAUCAAGCAACAUGAGAACAAACGAAACUAAACAAACAACCCUUUAAACACACAAAUUUAUAUUUUAAAUAGUCCAACGCAUUAAAAAUGAAAACAAACAAACAGAAACAGUCAAACAAAUGCAACAAUAACAACAACAGUACGUUACAGCAACUCACAAACAACACAUACACACACACAUACCGAACACACACACACACAACAAAACAAAUAAUACAAACACUAUUACCAAACCGUUUUCUACUUUGAUAAAAAAAAAGAAAAGAAGAAUGAAAGAAAAAACCUACUGCUAAAAAUAUUAAUAAGCAUUAUUAUAAUACUACAUUAUAUACAUAGUUUAAAUGAAAGCCAGUCCUAAACACACAACUACAUAAACCUUGUAUUACGUAGAUUAUACUUAUAGAAAGGAGCGAACCUUAGCAGACCUCAGAGCUGAAGAAACAUAAAAAAAACUAAAACUAAAAACGAAAACAAGAUAAAACUAAAAGAACAGGGUUUGGCUCAAAGCCAACAGACACACACACAUACACACAUUGUACACACACUGACACACACACACACAUACAACACAUCUGAAACAUCAGAAGAACUUCCCCCAUCUCUAAAACUAACCAACUACCUAACGAACUACAAUACUUACUAGAGUUAGAGAUUGGUUAUAGAUAGAUAGUAUGUCUUACUUCUGUGUUAGGUCGGUCUGUCGUCUGUCUAUCAAUCUGUCUAUCGUAACUGUCCUUCCGUCAAUCAAUCCUCAUCAAUCAAAUUUAAACUGUUGACUCGCCUUUGUUUAGCUGUGUAAAGUUUUACCAAAAAAGUAAAGAAACAAAUGAAAAAUUAAAAACAAAAAAAAAAUACAAACAAACAAACAAUAUAAAAACGUAAACACUUUUAGCCCUGUCUAAGAAUGUCGCUCGGGUGAUGUCUGUAAAAGUAAUGAUUUUUUUAUUUGAUUAACGAACAGUGUAUUAAUAUUGAUUCCGCCAUGAAGAGGAAUUUUCUAAGCUGUAUAAUGUUUGUUACUGAAGAAUCAUUUUUGUUCAUUAUUUUUAUAUAUUGUAUGUAUAUGAGAUAUCCGAUUUAAACAAAACAAAAA